AGAGGUGCNNNNAUUACUCGAUUUAUUGGGUGUAAAGGGCAAGUAGGCGUCUUGACAAGUUAGGAGAGAAAUCCUGCAGCUCAACUGCAGAACUGCUUUUAAAACUGUUAAGAUUGAGACUGGGAGAGGAGAGUGGAAUUCUCGGUGUAAGAGUGAAAUCUGUAGAUAUCGAGAGGAACACCAGUGGCGAAGGCGGCUCUCUGGUCCAGUUCUGACGCUGAAUUGCGAAAGCUAGGGGAGCAAACAGGAUUAGAUACCCUGGUAGUCCUAGCCGUAAACUAUGAGMACUAGGUGUUGGGGGUUUACCUUCAGCGCCGCAAGUUAACACGUUAAGUGCUCCACC
rnacentral:rRNA from 1 species